GUUUUGGCUUGGCUGUGGUAGACACUGGUUUUGUGGGUUCAGAUUUGGCUGUGGUGGACACUGGUGUGGGCUCAGGUUUUGCUGUGGUGUGUACUGCUGUAGGUGCUGGUUUGGCUGUGGUGGACGCUGGUGUGGGUUCUGGUUCAGCUGUGGUGUGAACUGGUGCUGUGGGCUCUGGUUUGGCUG